AUCAGAGCUUCCCUUUUCCUUCCAGAGAGAUGGGAAAUAGCUUUUGUUUUCUUCAUUAGCAACCCAGAAUUCCAAAGGUGGGAGAAAUGGAGGCUGCUGUAUGGCCUGUUAGAAGAGCUUUCAUCAUUUUGCCUCUUCUAAAGUUCCAUCUGUCCUUGAGGUGUUUGUGAGUCCUCCUCGGAACAGGAGGUUUUCCAGACCCUGUAAAUGGUUCAGAUCUUCUCUCUCAGGAGACAGAGCUGGUGGUCGUGUUUGUUUUGUGCCAUGAGGCACACAGGUGUACCUGCCCAGGCUCAUGUGUGCGUAUGCACUCGACAGGAAUGGCUGCAUCGAACCAGGCCAGGAAGGUGAUGCCCAGCUGCCAGGUCUCGGCCCUGUGAGAACUGGCAAGAAACUGUUGAUGAGGAAAAUAGGUCUCUGAGAAGCGAUUGUGGGUCCCCAGAUGGUAGAAGUGAUGAUCCCUCUAGUCUCUGGGAAGAUCAGAUCACACUCCUGCACUCAUAAGCUCAGGUCUGGCCCCCAUGGAAGAGAGAUGCUGACAAAUAAAGCAGAAGGAGGGCGUAGUGUUUGCCAAGCCUACGCAGAGGAGAUGAUGCCUAUGUCCUGUGGCUUAAAUGGGAGCCUGGCUGUUUACACCACUGAGAGUCCAGGAUGCAGAAAACAGGACAGGGUUCUGUUGUCCAGGUGUGCACGGAGCCCACUAGAAGCCCAGAGGAAGGGCAUCUCACCAAACUGGGAGAGUCGGAGAAGACUUGCUGGAGGAGAAGGCGCCAUGCUCAGUUUUGAAGGAUCACUAGGACUCAGCCAGGUGACGGUCAGGAAGGACCGAGAAAAUCGCAUGAGCAAGCACACAGAGGUGUGCGCAGUUCUGUAUCAGGAAACUAUGACUCCCGAGGCUGGGGAACUGGAGAGGAAUGCUGCUGACAGAUCAUGGGUGAUGUUUUAUGCUGCAAUAAGGGAUUUGGAUUUUACCUAUUUUGUCAAUAAUGACAAGCCAUCAAAACUUUUUAAAUAAGGGUUAAAAUGAUCAGUCUGUGCUUUAGAAAAAUCACGUUGACCUACAAAAGUAGGAUUGGAGGGAGAAGAACUAAAGUCUAAUUAGGAGAAUUUCACACGAGAAGAUGGGGUUUUCCCUGGAAAAACAUUCUCACUAAGAUACUCUCUUUUCCCUCUAAGACUAGCAUAUUUCAUACGGCUCUUCCCUAGGAUGCCUUCUCUUACCUUUUCAGUUACAUGAGUGGGCUUCUCCUUCAG
rnacentral:lncRNA from 1 species